rnacentral:pre_miRNA from 1 species
CCUCAUAGCAGUGUUCUGGAGUCUUAUGUGAGGGACAAACAUUCAGACCCCGGCAGCAGUGUUCUGGAAUCCUAUGUGAGGGA